rnacentral:rRNA from 1 species
UACGUAGGGGGCAAGCGUUAUCCGGAUUUAUUGGGCGUAAAGAGCUCGUAGGCGGCUGGUCGCGUCGGUUGUGAAAGCUCAGGGCUCAACCCUGAGACGCCAAUCGAUACGGAUCGGCUAGAGGUAGGUAGGGGAAAGUGGAAUUCCUGGUGUAGCGGUGAAAUGCGCAGAUAUCAGGAGGAACACCGGUGGCGAAGGCGGCUUUCUGGGCCUUACCUGACGCUGAGGAGCGAAAGCUGGGGGAGCAAACAGG